UAUUAGCAAAAAUCCAAUCGACAAAAUUAAUUAUAUAAUCGGAUUUUGUCAAGCCCAUCUUGCUUUAAUUAUAUAAUGAAGAGAGCAGCGGAGAAGGAAAGAUGAGAGAGUCGGGGAACAAAACGUUACGAAGAGAUGCCUUUGCCAACAGAGAUAGAUGCACAAUCGUAUCUGAUUUCGGUAAAAGAGCAUUUCAAGGAUGAUACAGGAGAAUUUGCACAGUUUAUUCAAAUCUGCACAGAAGAAUUUGCACAGUUUAUUCAAAUCCUCAAUGAUUUUGGGUCAAAGACGUAUGUAAUCAUUUCAAAUCUUUAUUUAGGGCUUCCGAAUUUUUAACUGAUAAUGUAUUUUACGCUCUUUGAACGGGCAUUUUUGCUUAAUUUGCAGAUGUGAUGCGAUUGGGGUUCAGCUGAGCCAUGAACUUCUUUUAAGUUGCAAUAAAUUCCUCCCAAAAGAUUAAGACGCCCUUCCAAAAUGAAGAAUAUAUACGCAAGGGAUUAUUUGAAACAAAUCAGGCAUACUGGAUACAGUGGAUUUGAGUUGGACAUUCUCAUAAAAAAUUCAAGCGUGUACACGAGUUACUGGAAAAGCAACAUGACAACGCAACUCAGACAAGUGCUCAUUUCAGAAUUGAAGACCACCUGACAGCUAUGAAUUUAAGGUGCAUUGAGCUCAUUUAUAGUAAUUGCGGGCUUCGUAUAAUAGAUCUGUUGCUUGAAAAGCCAGAUCGUUGUUUACCAGUAAUUGUGAAACGUCUUCAACAAAAGCAUGAAGAAUGGGUCAAUUAUCGGACCAGAUUCAACAAAGGUUGGGCAGAAAGUACUAUCAGAGAUCUUUUGACCACCAUAGUCCCUGCUUUAACCAAAGAGAUGCAAAAUGUUUGAGCAAAAAGAGGAGAACCCACUUCCAUUUAUGAUUUGGAAUAUAUUAUGGGCAGAUUGUUGUAUAUAAUAUUAAUUUCUGACAUCUGAAUCUCUAUGUGCUUCUUGUUGGAAUAUUUAAUUUCUCUCAUUUGGCAUGAGAAUAAUUGUAAUGAAAUAUUUAUUUCUAAAUUGUCAAACAUGGUUGAGUUUU